UGCGACUCUGAGUCAUACUGAAUUCUUUGUGUCACCUCCGACACAAAGAUUCGUUUUGCUGUUUAUCAGAAGAGAAAACACAGAUUCCAUACCUUGUCAGCUACUAUUUAGUUCGGCUUCCCCCUUAAUGCCCCAGCCCCUGUCAGCUGUCAGGUUCUAAAUUCAGAAUUCUCAAUUCUGUCAGGUUCUGCACUAUGAGUCGGUGUCAUCCCUCCAAGCCCUGGCUUUCUGCCGGAGCAGCAGGGCUGUGAGAAUCAAGAUGGCACAGGGAAGGCAUCUGUCCCAGCAUUUGCACGUGAUAGGUGCCCACGGUGCGGGAGCAGAAUCUGUGGAAGCAGCAGUGUCUAGUUGCUGUGCCCUGCCACCUCCUCCUGCAAAAGGAGAAAUGUCCAAGGGAUAGCAGACCCGCAGCACUGAGCAGCCUGCUGUGCUGACCACUGGAUCCAGGCCACAUGCUGCAGACAGUGGCUGUGGGUGAGUGAUGAGGCCACUACCCAGAAAGCUGCAUGUACACUGUGUGGGCGAGGUAACUUCAGGUUACAAGGCUCUAGUACUUGACCGUGAUGACUCCAUGAGAAAACAGCAGAACGCCAGCUUUGCAGGUGGAUGAAGACCUGAUCAUUGAAGUUCACCAGUUAUUUUUCUCAAGAAUGUGAAUAACAAUGGGAUUUGCACUCAUUGUAUUUUUAGAAUGGCUUCGCAUAAUUUUUAUGCAUUCUGUGGACGAUGAACACAAAUGCAGCUGUGGCCGUGCGUGGCCUGUGUGUGUUGAACGCAUUCCUGCCGUGCGGGAGCCGCCUACCCAGCGGAGCCUCAGAGUGUGAGUUCUCAGUGAGUCGACAUUUUGGGUGUGUAUGCCAAGAGGUGACAUGAAACAGAAGUUGGGAUCACUGUGGUUAACCUGAGCAUGUUGGAAACCAAGGAGAGGCUGAUGUUAAUGUUGGAUUUUUGUGAAAAAAGAUUCCUUUCAAAGAAAGACCUGUGACAAUUGGUAAUUGCAGCUAAUGUGUUUCCACAAACAGCCAUUUUGUGUUGGCAUCACACCAUCCACCAUCAGGGUUGCUGACAGGAGCAGUGUUCAGGAGUCUCAGACAGUGGAUUGUGCUGCUUCAGAGCCUGGUGGCUGGAAGGUUUGCAGGCUGCCAGGGGCCUCAGCUGAAGACCUGGACCUACAGGACCACAGAGGCAAAUUGUUCAAUUGACCGUACAGUGUGAGAAUGAAAUAUUAAUUCCCCUUCUCUACCUCAUAUGAAAAAUGUGAAUUGUCUUUUUUAAAUUUGGGAAUCUGGGUUAUAGUAUGUGUGAGUCAAUUUAAACAAUGACUUUUUUUUUUGGCUCAAAA
rnacentral:lncRNA from 1 species